rnacentral:rRNA from 1 species
GAUGAACGCUAGCUACAGGCUUAACACAUGCAAGUCGAGGGGUAACAAGAGGAAAGCUUGCUUUUCUUGUUGACGACCGGCGCACGGGUGAGUAACGCGUAUCCAACCUGCCUAUAACUAGGGAAUAACCUUGCGAAAGUAAGACUAAUACCCUAUGAUUUCCUUUGAUGGCAUCAGAUUAGGAAUAAAGAUUUAUCGGUUAUAGAUGGGGAUGCGUCUGAUUAGCUUGUUGGCGGGGUAACGGCCCACCAAGGCAACGAUCAGUAGGGGUUCUGAGAGGAAGGUCCCCCACAUUGGAACUGAGACACGGUCCAAACUCCUACGGGAGGCAGCAGUGAGGAAUAUUGGUCAAUGGGCGGAAGCCUGAACCAGCCAAGUAGCGUGCAGGAUGACGGCCCUAUGGGUUGUAAACUGCUUUUAUACAGGAAUAAAGUUAGCCACGUGUGGUUAUUUGUAGGUACUGUAUGAAUAAGGACCGGCUAGCUACGUGCCAGCAGCCGCAGUAA